rnacentral:lncRNA from 1 species
GAAGGAUGCAGGAGAGAGGACCAUUGCAUGGUUGGACAAGAUUAGGAACUCAAAUGGUUCACUGCCUACAUCAAAGAUUCGGCUGAAUAUGCAGAGAGUUAUGCAAAACAAUGCUGCUGUGUUCCGCACACAAGAAACACUAGAGGAAGGUACGCGGGAGGUUUUCAUCUUUGUUAAAAUUUAUUUCAAUCUUUUUUUCCCGUAAGAGUUGUCUGGGGAAGGAUUCUGUUUCUUCCAAGUUUUUGGCAACUUUAUCAGCUGAGCUGACUACUUCCUCUGCAUUGCCUUACAGGUUGCCAGCUCAUUGACAAAACAUGGGAGAGUUUCCAUGAUGUUCAGUUGAAGGAUAGAAGUUUAAUAUGGUAUUAUUGCUAGGAGAAUAUCAAUUCUUAUUAAGUAGUAUUAAGGUGUUUCAUAUCCUCUUGCUGUUUUUGAAUUUCCUCCUAUUUUUUAUUCGUAGGAACUCAGAUCUUAUAGAGACUAUUGAGCUGGAAAACCUUUUGAUCAAUGCAUGCAUCACCAUGCACUCAGCCGAGGCUAGAAAGGAAAGCAGAGGAGCUCAUGCUCGUGAAGAUUU